rnacentral:rRNA from 1 species
GACGAACGCUGGCGGCGUGCCUAACACAUGCAAGUCAACGAGAAAGGGGUAGCAAUAUCCUGAGUAAAGUGGCGCACGGGUGAGUAACACGUAGGUAAUCUGCCAUCAGGACGGGGACAACCACGCGAAAGCGUGGCUAAUACCCGAUGAAUCGACGAUGCCGCAUGGCAUUUGUUAUUAAAUACCGCAAGGUGCCUGGUGAUGAACCUGCGUCCCAUUAGGUAGUUGGUGAGGUAACGGCUCACCAAGCCGACGAUGGGUAGCUGGUCUGAGAGGAUGAUCAGCCACACUGGAACUGAGACACGGUCCAGACUCCUACGGGAGGCAGCAGUGAGGAAUAUUGCGCAAUGGCCGAAAGGCUGACGCAGCGACGCCGCGUGAAGGAUGAAGUCCGUUAGGAUG